ACUCUGAUUGCCCUGUCUCUGGCACCGUCGGUCCUCCUUUUCCCUUGUUCAGUCAGAUGGUGUCAGAAGCAGCCUUCCUCCCGCGUGCUUCAGUUUCUGAGAUUCCGUGUCACCAGAACCCCAUGUCUGUCAGGCUGUCAACAUUCCCAAAGAAAACACAGCGGCACCGAAGCCUUUGAUUGAUCCCAUAUGUCUGGCGUGGCGCUGCAGAGGCAUUCACUGGAGAUGAAUCCAGAUACCAGGAGUGCCAAGCUCAUUUUACAGAUGAGGAAACAGACAAAGAGGGUUAAGU